UGCCUGUGAUGACUCGCCAUGCUAAUACCGACCCCCACGGCAGUGCUUGGCUCUGCCUUGGGUGGGGAUGAGUUAAAUUCGCUCCUCGUGGAGUCCUGAGGCAU
rnacentral:snoRNA from 1 species